CGCCUACAGCUGGCGCGUUCAGGAGAAGGGACGGGGAACUAGCCAGUGGGACUUCGGAGCACGUGCGUCCGCUUCAUCUCUCUGCUUCACCGCCUCGUGGUCCUUUGUUUCACUGACCCCUUCAUGGACACUGGGGCAGGGUUGUGGUGAAGGGCCUUAAGAUAAUGUGUGCAGAGCAAGUGACAGCGCCUGGAACGUGGAGAUUCGUCAGUAAACGUUGGCCGUUAUUACGGU
rnacentral:lncRNA from 1 species